UAUGUAUGUACCGGACCGCCCACAGAGAUGGCUGGGCCCCGGAGUAGUUCCAGUGAGUGGGCCUCUCUUUCUCCUACUGUAUACUGAGAGAGACUUACUCAGUGAUGGAGUCUACAUACAAUUAAGUCCAACAUUAUUACAGGUCAGGUGGCCAGCUGCCCAUGCUUUUAUUUUUUCAAUGAAUAGAAUAUUUUCCAUACGAUCUUAAGAUUAGUUAAUAAUAAAAUAUAACACUGAGCUUUGGCUCUGCUGGCUUGUAAUUAGUCCAGUCCGCACUAUAUUAUACAAUUAGCUUUGGCUAUACAAUGUAAACAUAAUGCUAUAUAGGCUACGGCUGCAUAGCACCUGCAAAUUAUAGAUAACAAUGCUAUUAUUCAUUUUAUCAGCUGCAUCAGGUCCAUUCAAACUCGCUCCCCCAGAUUUACUUACUAAAAUACUAUUUAUACUAUGGCAUGCCCUCCCACCAUAUAUCCAAAGGAAUAUGCAUGUCAUGCUUUAACUGUUUGUUUAAAUUUAUGUUUAAUUUAUUUUGAUUGAAUUCCAAUGGUAGAGAAAGAAGUAAAAAACACUUUUACAAUUGACAGCAAUGCCAUUUUUAUUGGAAAGAACAUUAUAAGAUAAUCUUUGUAUAAGUUCCUCUUAUGGUUUAUGCCCCCUAAAGAUCUUACAUGAAACGACAAACCAUUCACUUUAAUGUACAAUUUCAUAAUCGUUUCCAUGGAAACUAAAGUGAGCUCUCACCCUGUUCGUCUUCAUAAAGGCACGUCUACAGUGACUUCAGGUGUCGUCGGCUCUGCUUACAGCACAGAUCACUUGAGCCCAACUCAGAAAUUGCUCUGCAAACCCUCUGAUACGUUCCCAAUAGAAGUGCAGCGUCUUCACUUUAAUGAGUAAAAAGCCAUCAACAAAGCCAGUCAGGAUGUUUCAGCCGUAGGAGAA